rnacentral:rRNA from 1 species
GACGAACGCUGGCGGCGUGCUUAACACAUGCAAGUCGAACGGAAAGGCCCUGCUUUUGUGGGGUGCUCGAGUGGCGAACGGGUGAGUAACACGUGAGUAACCUGCCCUUGACUUUGGGAUAACUUCAGGAAACUGGGGCUAAUACCGGAUAGGAGCUCCUGCUGCAUGGUGGGGGUUGGAAAGUUUCGGCGGUUGGGGAUGGACUCGCGGCUUAUCAGCUUGUUGGUGGGGUAGUGGCUUACCAAGGCUUUGACGGGUAGCCGGCCUGAGAGGGUGACCGGCCACAUUGGGACUGAGAUACGGCCCAGACUCCUACGGGUGGCUG